UUAUGAAUUACCAGAGGAUCUUGUUAAAAUGCAGAUCUGAUCAAGCAAAUCUGGGGUAGGGCAUGAGAUUCUGCAUUUCUAACAAGCUCCUGGGUAGUUCCAAU
rnacentral:pre_miRNA from 1 species